rnacentral:rRNA from 1 species
GACGAACGCUGGCGGCGUGCUUAACACAUGCAAGUCGAACGAUGAAGAAGAGCUUGCUCUUCGGAUUAGUGGCGAACGGGUGAGUAACACGUGACUAACCUGCCUCUUUCUCUGGGAUAACGCUCCGAAAGGAGUGCUAAUACCGGAUACUCACAUCGAGGCACAUGCCUUGAUGUGGAAAGCUUUUCGGAAAGGGAUGGAUUCGCGGCCUAUCAGCUUGUUGGUGAGGUAACGGCUCACCAAGGCGACGACGGGUAGCCGGCCUGAGAGGGCGACCGGCCACACUGGGACUGAGACACGGCCCAGACUCCUACGGGAGGCAGCAGUGGGGAAUAUUGCACAAUGGGCGAAAGCCUGAUGCAGCGACGCCGCGUGAGGGAUGAAGGUCUUCGGAUUGUAAACCUCUUUCAGUAGGGACGAAGCGAAAGUGACGGUACCUAAAGAAGAAGCACCGGCUAACUACGUGCCAGCAGCCGCGGUAA